GAAUUAUUGGGCGUAAAGAGCUCGUAGGCGGUUUGUCGCGUCUGCUGUGAAAACCCGAGGCUCAACCUCGGGCCUGCAGUGGGUACGGGCAGACUAGAGUGCGGUAGGGGAGAAUGGAAUUCCUGGUGUAGCGGUGGAAUGCGCAGAUAUCAGGAGGAACACCGAUGGCGAAGGCAGUUCUCUGGGCCGUUACUGACGCUGAGGAGCGAAAGCGUGGGGAGCGAACAGGAUUAGAUACCCUGGUAGUCAAGGGCG
rnacentral:rRNA from 1 species